rnacentral:rRNA from 1 species
UACAGAGGUCCCGGGCGUUGUUCGGAUUCACUGGGCGUAAAGGGUGCGUAGGUGGUGAGGUAAGUCGGAUGUGAAAUCUCCAGGCUCAACCUGGAAACUGCAUUGGAAACUACCUUGCUGGAGGAUUUGAGGGGGGAUUGGAAUACUUGGUGUAGCAGUGAAAUGCGUAGAUAUCAAGUGGAACACCAGUGGCGAAGGCGAAUCCCUGGAAAAUACCUGACACUGAGGCACGAAAGCUAGGGGAGCAAACAGG